CGGAGGCAGCAGUGGGGAAUCUUGCGCAAUGGGGGCAACCCUGACGCAGCAACGCCGCGUGAGUGAGGAAGGUCUUCGGAUCGUAAAGCUCUGUCAGAUGGAAAGAACCGCAUGGGGGUGAAUAUCCCCUAUGUCUGACGGUACCAUCAAAGGAAGCACCGGCUAACUCCGUGCCAGCAGCCGCGGUAAUACGGGGGGUGCAAGCGUUGUUCGGAAUUAUUGGGCGUAAAGAGCGUGUAGGCGGCCUGAUGUGUCAGAUGUGAAAGCCCUGGGCUUAACCCAGGAAGUGCAUUUGAAACUGUCAGGCUUGAGUAGGGGAGAGGGAAGUGGAAUUCCUGGUGUAGAGGUGAAAUUCGUAGAUAUCAGGAGGAACACCGGUGGCGAAGGCGACUUCCUGGCCCUAUACUGACGCUGAGACGCGAGAGCGUGGGUAGCAAACAGGAUUAGAUACCCGCGUAGUCCG
rnacentral:rRNA from 1 species